rnacentral:lncRNA from 1 species
AGCAACAGAGACCGUGCAUGCUGCUAUUCUGUGCGGCGCUGGAGGCUAACGCUGCCUGCUCUCUUUCCAGCAGAGCCUGUGGGCAGGAGACGGGAGCUGCUUCACUCUGAGAUUCAGACUCUGAUGGGCCGGGCUGAGUACCUGAAAGAGCAGAUCAAGAUGAGGGACGCGCAAUCCAUGGGCAAGGAGAUGCUGUCGGAGUCUGUCCGGAGCUCCUGUAUUCU